rnacentral:tRNA from 1 species
ACUUAAAUAGCUUAAAUAAGAGUAUAAUAUUGAAGAUAUUAGGGUAAUAGAUAAUUAUUUUUAAGUA